CCAACAGUGCAAUCCUAGGAGGCUAAUCCAAUCCCAUCCAAACCCAUCUUGAAAAGCAAAAGGGCCCUUACUAUAUGUUUGCAUCUCCUUUGAUUUUAUAUCUGCUGCGUACUGUAAAUUACAUAGAAUUGUUGACAUAUCUGCUCUUGCGAUGGAGCUAUCCUCUCUCUUCGACGGCGGCAACCCCUUCCAACCAUAUAUAUGAAGCUACAAGUUUGGACUGAUCAGUGUAUGUUUCUUGGUUUAUGCAACUUCAAGAUGGUGAUCUGGCUUUUCUCGACAACCAAUGGCGCCUGAUUUUUUGCCAAUUCAGGUAUGUACACUUCUCCCCUUUUCUGUGUGUGUUAUAGGUUUUAUUUUUCGGUAUGAAAUACUGAAUUGAAAUGUUUGAGCCUCUUUUUUUCCUCUCAUCAAAGAAUGUAGACCGCACAACAAAAUUUUCAAGGGGAAGAAGAGAGGCAGGUUCAACCUCGUAAUUACGAUUACGCUAAGCCUCUUGUUCGUUUAUUGUCAUGUGUAACGUUGGUGAUAUAUAAUGAUAUUACAGUUCAAAAUUUACGGUGUGACAAGUUAAUUAAAAAAACAUUAUCCUGCCCUUUAUGUUCUCUUUUAUUUAAGGGAUCAUUACGACUAUAAAAUCCAACUCACCAACGAUACUCUUUAUUUGAAGAACCGCGGGUUGGAUGAUUACGAAAAAAUUCGACCAUGAUUCCCUCACGGCAAUUUUUCAAACUUGGUGUUGCAUACAUACCUCUAUUUGGAUCCGAGUCGGAACUUCUUUGCUUAUGGCUUCCAAAGGUUGAGUCGUGGUGCAGGUUAGCCCUUUUUUGGUGUUUCGGCUUCGGUUUGCUGUUGCUCUCUCUGUUCGUAUACAGGUUUGCCGCUUGUUCAAGAAUUAUAUUGAUGUCUUCCAGUGAAGUUUACUUCUUAUAGCUGAUUUUAUUCGGCCGAGUGAAUUCUCAGCUGGAGUUGAGUUCGUCCACAUCUGUAGACGGCGCCACUCUGACGAGUAGCUUUGCGCUUCCGACGACUUCGUUUGACGUUGGACUUCUUUAUAUUACUUUGAUUUAUGCCUCUUAUAUUUGUAUUUUUUCCUUACAAUUUACUUCUUGUACAUUAUCCUUCAAAAUUUUUGCUCCCUCUCUCCACCACCUCCUUAUUUCCCGGCCUCCGUCAACUGGACACACGAGGCACACAUUCCGGCGGUUUUCGAUUUGUGUUCUCAUAUUUUCCAAUUCUCCCUGCGCAUAUUGGUGCUUUAGGAAAGUGGAUGAAUCGCUGCUCGAUCUCAAAAGGCCUUCCCUAUUUCCUUCUAUGAUUGUUUCUUUUGUUUAGGAAAGCGGAUGAAAUCGCUGCUCGAUCGCAAAAAACCCUCCCUCUCUUCUAUGAAUAUUUGUUUUCGUAGUUGGGGCUAUUAGGUCUUUAAUUUAAGCAACCUGGAUCGUAUAAUUGCAUUUUCAGAACUUUCGAAUGCAACAAAAUCAGGUGAGGAAUCACACGUUCACCUCAUAUUCA